UUGUUCAGCCAGUCGCGCUGGUUUCGCCGCGUUGGGCUGAUCCUGCGUCCUCUCCAGGUCGCAGCCCCUCCCGAAAGCUGGGCAAGGGGACCCUCCCUGGCUGUGAGCUCUCUGCGGUCCUCGGGUGCAGGCCACUAUGAGCAAACGGAAGGCGCCGCAGGAGACGCUCAACGGGGGCAUCACCGACAUGCUCACAGAACUCGCAAACUUUGAGAAGAACGUGAACCAGGCUAUCCACAAGUACAAUGCCUACAGAAAAGCAGCAUCUGUGAUAGCAAAGUACCCACACAAAAUAAAGAGUGGAGCAGAAGCUAAGAAACUGCCUGGAGUAGGAACAAAAAUUGCUGAAAAGAUUGAUGAAUUUUUAGCUACUGGAAAAUUGCGUAAACUGGAAAAGAUUCGGCAGGAUGAUACGAGUUCAUCCAUCAACUUCCUGACUCGAGUUAGUGGCAUUGGUCCUUCUGCUGCAAGGAAGUUUGUAGAUGAAGGAAUUAAGACAUUAGAAGAUCUCAGAAAAAAUGAAGAUAAAUUGAACCAUCAUCAGCGAAUUGGGCUAAAAUAUUUUGAGGACUUUGAGAAAAGAAUUCCUCGUGAAGAGAUGUUACAAAUGCAAGAUAUUGUACUAAGUGAAGUUGAAAAAGUGGAUUCUGAAUACAUUGCUACAGUCUGUGGCAGUUUCAGAAGAGGGGCAGAGUCCAGUGGCGACAUGGAUGUUCUUCUUACCCAUCCAAGCUUUACCUCUGAGUCAACCAAACAGCCAAAGCUGUUACAUCGUGUUGUGGAGCAGUUACAAAAGGUCCAUUUUAUUACAGACACUCUGUCAAAAGGGGAAACAAAGUUCAUGGGUGUUUGCCAGCUUCCCAGUAAAAAUGAUGAAAAGGAAUAUCCACACAGGAGAAUUGAUAUCAGGUUGAUACCCAAGGAUCAGUAUUACUGUGGUGUCCUCUAUUUCACUGGGAGUGAUAUUUUCAAUAAGAAUAUGAGAGCUCAUGCCCUAGAAAAAGGCUUCACAAUCAACGAAUACACAAUCCGUCCCUUGGGAGUCACUGGAGUUGCUGGAGAGCCGCUGCCCGUGGAUAGUGAGAAGGACAUCUUUGACUACAUCCAGUGGAAAUACCGAGAACCCAAGGAUCGAAGUGAAUGAGGCCCAUCCUCCCCGGCACAGCCCAAUAGUUGCCUGACUUCGACAUGAUAGUCCAGGACCACAGUCACAGCGCUGGAAGAUUUCUGGAGCUUGUGCGGUAUCUUUGUGCGCUCUCCUAGAGCAGACCUGUCCCUCCAAUGGGACCGGUUUACAAAUUUUAGUCCAAAAAUGACGAGCACAGCAAAGUCCAGGUCCACAGUCGAAAGUUCUAAGACAGCUUUCUCCCUCUUGUCCUGUAACGAGAUUGAUACGGGCUUUAGUAAUAAGCAGGGGGAAUGGUGGCUUGUGAGGGCAUGACUGGGUUAGGGCGUGGGGUGUAGGAUAAGGUCGCAAAGUAAAGAUAGAGCAACAGCAUGCCUGGCUCCUGGGCUGAAAGCAACAAUGGAGUGGACAUCUCUGUCUUCCCAAACACAAUUUACUGCUUUAUAAAGUUAAAACAUUUAUUAAAGAAAGAUGGGAUUUCCAGUCUUGAGACAUGAAAUAAGUAUCACUCAUCAGUGUUUUAUUAAAUGGGAUUUGUACUGACCCAAAGAGAGACCACUACUUACACAGGGGGCAACCAGCCGCCUUCAACAAACAAGAAUGGCCAAUUCACCACCUUCAAAAUCCUAGCUGCUUUAUGUCAGAGACUGGAAUUUGAGACUACAAUUUUGUAAAAAGCAUCUUAGUGAAGUUUGUAUUUUGUCCGAGAAUGAAACGUUAUUGCAUCUAUGUUCCUCUCUCCUUUAUUUUGUAUUCUGAGGAUCUAGAAAGGGAAAUUUCUAUUUGUUAAAUUAUAGGCUAUAAAAAGAUGUGCAUAUAAAAUUUAAUUAAACAAUUAAAGGCUUUCUUGCUAAUCAGCCCGUUAUUAUAGCUAUUCCCCGUCCUCUUGGCCUGCCAACUACCUUGUGCUCUUACCCCCAUGAUCCCCAUAGCUGUUUAUGGAAAGAGAUUGGAAAUAGGACAUGCUCCCUAGGUGUUUCCGGGGUGGAGAGGCAUAAGUCAGUUUCAGCCUAUCCUUAAGAGCCUAGGAGGAGAAAAUAUUUUUCUUAAAAAAAAAAAAAAAUAUAUAUAUAUAUAUAUAUAUAUAUGCUUAGAAUGCUGCUGUUACCCUUACUGCCUUGUGAUUUUUUAAUAUUUGGCUUCCUCUUGGGUUUGUUUUCCUGAAUUGGGUGCUCAUUUGUUCCUUGUGUAUCUGUGUCGUCUUGGUCAUCGAUCUGCCUCUCCAGUAUUGGGGUUGCAUCUUCCAUUGCAGUGCAAACAUCUGAGAGACAAGCAGGUGGAGUUAGAGGAUGAGAACCACAGACAGGCUCAUUAUCAGACUGUCACAGGGUUUGGCAGUACUUCCGCCUUCAGUUUCUGUAUAACUUUCUAGAUUUCCGGGACACAGGCACUAAAUAUUUACAUCUCACAUAUGGCAAAGCAGGUGCUUAAGUAAUUAAUGGAAUCUAAGUGAAAACAGAAGAACUUGAAAGAUUCCAACUUGAACCCUUGCUUUAAAAUCAUCUCCAAGUUGCUGGCAAGAGUUGUUGCCGGGAAAGAAACUAUUUUGCUGCAUCGGGAAGAGGCAGCUGCGGAGAACCACUUUGGAGCCUUUAGAGAGUGCCUGUCGUGGAAUACCCUAGUCUAAGAGACCCGGAUGCUGUGUCUGCUCUUUGGGAGCGCUGCAGUUCUGCAAGUCUUCGUGCUGACUCACCGUUCACGCAGAGCGUCCCCGGGCAGCACACGGCAGCCCACUGGCACCACCUCCGUAAUCCACGACAGGUAGCACAGGAUGGCUUCUCAUCCUGGGGUUUGAGGCAGAAUUUUCUAGUGUUGCAGUCUUUGUCAGACAUGCACUGUGAACCCUGUAAAGAGAAGCUGUUGUCACAGGGCUAGGGAAUCCGGCGAGAUGUAAAGAGUUUUUAUUCCAGGCAGGAGAUGGAGAAAGCCAAAAAGAGAGGCACUUUAAACACUGAGGCAAACCUCAAGCAGCAUCUUGACUUUUCACUAGAAUUGGUUUUCUUUCACAAAGGGGAGAGCAAAUCACCAACGAAGAGACCUAUGUGCUGCAAACGUUAUUUGUGUCUGAAAAAUUGUCCUACUUUUAAACAUAGAAUUUCAUCUUUUAUGCUCUCUGUGAAAAUGGAAGAAAAUGUUUUCCCACGUGUGUCUUAGAGACGGUUAUGAGAUUUUUGAUAUGUAUCUAGAAGCUCUAGAUGCUGUGCGAUAGUUUAAAGAAGUGUUGGUGUUUGUGGCAUCCCUAUUUGACCGUUUUACUCCAGUGAAUCACAUCAGUCACCAUUUGCCAAGUAGGCCCCUCAGUGGGCCAACCCAACCAUCCUUUGGUUUCUAGUGAUGCCUCAUUUGCAGAGAAACAGAUACCGAAGACUGAUUUCUCUCAUCUUCGGUUGAUGGUUUUUCAUAUGUAUAUGAAACAUUUCCUAUAAAACAAUUCUGUGAAGUGAGAGGGUUGGCACGCAGCAUGUAACUUCUGACUCCCAUGUUCCCUGGCUGUGUGGCCUUGGUUAAAUCCCUCAGCGUCUCUGAGCCCAUUUCCGCCAUCUGUCAUUAGGAGAUGUGAUAGCUGUCUCAAGCUCUGAGGAAGAGGAGAUGAGAUAGUAUGUAUAAAAGGCCUGGCACGUGGUGUAUAGCUUUCUAAAUGUUAGCUUACUCCCUGAUUUAUAGGUGAAUUGAUAGCCCUGAAAUUCCAUGCCCUGAAAAGCCACUUGGCUCAUCUGGUGAGUUAAUGCUAAAGCGACUGGAUUCUUCCAGGGUGCCUUCCACAGCCUCCAUCCGGCCCACCGUCUAGAUGAGCUACUUCAGAUGCUCAUCUGCGUGAUGGCUUCACUCGAGCCCAGCGCCCAGCCCUCCUCCUCUACCGAGCGUUACCUUCCGGGCUCCUUGCGCAUCCACAGAGCUCUUGCUGUUGACAUCCAGAACCAGGGCUCCCAGGGGGGCGCACAGCCAGCCAAGCCGCAGCAGGAUCAACACCACCAUCCUGGACCUUCUCAGCCCUCCCUGCAUCCUCCUCGAAGCUGGGCUGCUCUGAACCCACGAAAUGGGAACUCGGCAAGUCGCCCUGAGAUUGCUUUUUCUGAAAGAGAAGCAAAUCUUCGUUGGAGGAAGGUGUGUGAAGUCAGGCGAGCGAGGUCUGACCGGCGGGUUCCCUCUGAAACUGUUUAUAGACGUGCCCCCUCCUUUCUCUCCUCCUCCUUCCUCCUCCCUUUCCUUCCUUCUUACCCCACACAGGCUCCAACAAAUCCCCUCAAAUCUGUUUGAUCAAUAGUUCAAAACGAGGACUCAAUAGAGGGGGAGCAGAGGCAGGGCUGCAGCCACUGCUCCUCCAGGGGUUGAACCCCUCUUAAUCACUGCAUAUCAAAGUCAGUUCAAAGGGCCAGCGGAAGAGCAGGAUGUCUGUAUCAAAAGCAAACUCUGAUAAUCACCUGCAUUUCCUACCUUCAGUAAUCCUGUGAGGGUGGAGGGAGUCUGCUCUAAGAUCUGUUUUCACAGCUAGUUGUGCUCCAAGAAAGGAUGAAACCUGUUAGCCAAUACGCUCUGCGGGAUGCCAAAAACUAAUGAGUUACAAAAAAUAUACUGAGAAACUUUACACUGUGCUCAGAUAGUGAAGACAGACAGAAAAGAGACAAAAUGCCCCCUGCGUGUCUCUGGUGUUCAGAUGUAAAAAUCCCAAUAGCUUAAGAGCUGUGAAUGUAACAGCACCUGUCCCGACUAAAUGUCAAUUGGAAAAUAAUUCUCCUUAAAAUGAAAAUGGAACUGUUUGAAGUUAGGAUUAUUUAAUUAGGAAGAUAAUGAUUUUAUAAAAAUUGCCUUUUUUUAGUGAUAGGGACAACUGCAGAAAGCCCAUUUUAUAUACAGUUUUAUACAAUUUAAUAGGAAGUUUAGGUGUAUUUUAUGAGCAAUGGAUUUAAUUUGUGUUGUAUGAUGUUGAAGUGACUUAAGCAGAACAGGCUUCAAGACUGUAACUCAUUUCAGAUGGGAUUUCAUGCAUUUUCAAGUUUCCUAAUCUGAAUUUUUAAAAAAUGCUUCAUCCCUUUUUCUCUGAUUUUUUUUUUCCAGCCAGACUGUUAGCAAAGUCGAGUGAUUUAGACACGUGCUUAUCACUGCCUAAGUCCUUUAAGGGUAGAUCUGGGUCCCCAAAUCCCUUCAUUGUUUGCUUUGUUCUCAGGGUAAAUUCAUCCCCGUACCUGGGGUGUAAGGCGCCGUUUAAAAUCUACCAGUGCCCCUUAUCUAUGCCAUCAAUGGUAACCUUGGUGUUACUGGGUCUUCCUCCAAAACACCUGACAUCAGUCCGUCAAGAGGUACCUGGACAUUCUGUGCCAGGGGACCAUUCCCAGCCUCGAGGGACACCUGGAGCCCAGUGGCUGGGGCAGGUGACCUGAGGAUCCAUUACCUGGCUCUCUUCCUGGGGUUGGAUGCCUGUCCCCAUCGUGUGGCACAACGGAGCUAUUUCUUCUGCAAGUACUACUUGUUUUCAUGUAAACUGAGAGCAUCAAACACCCUUUGAUAGUAGGAUACUCCUGGUGACUAGGGGUGUUCCAGAAUUUAUUUUGAAGUUGGACAAUUAUGGCCAAACAUAAAAGAGAGAGCCCCAGGGUUCGCUCUCUGCUGGGUUUCCCUGCUUCUUGUUACCUGACAGAAGAGAGAAUACCAGGGCACCAGAGGCCUCUGGCAAAACACACAGACAAAAAGGACUGGAACCAAACGUUCACUGAGUACUUUGUACUUAACAGAACCUAUGUGUAGGUGUUGGGAAUAAAAGAUAAAACACAGUCCUUGCCCCUGAGGGGUUAGUGUCCAAGAAGAUCUACAUGUAGAGAUGAUUUUGAUAUAUUAUAACAAGCACUAAGAUAAAGAUAGAAAUGUGGGGCUGAAGGAUCACAGGGGAGGGUGUGAUUAGACCUUCUGAAGGAAUGAAGGAAUGCCUCUACAGAGAUGGUGACUGGUCAUUUGAGCUGGGUUUUGUGGGAUGAGUAGGAGUUUCCUAGGUUGAGAAGUAGGGGAUGGUCUUACCCCAGGCUCAGAGGGUGAAGUGUGUGCAGGGGCAGGGAGGUGCAUUUUGGUUCUAGAGAAUCUGUGUGGCUGGGGCAGAUGGUGGAGAGACAAGAGGAGGCUAGACUGUGAGGAACCUGAUAACAGGCAAAGGACACCGGGUAUUAUUUCAUAUGCAGUAGAAAGUCAUCGGGGGAAUAUUUGAACUUGAAAAUGGCAGGAUCUAAUUUGCUUUUUAGGAAAGCAGUGCUGGCGGCGGUGUGGUGCUAGGGUGCAGUGGAUUGAAAGCGGAUGCUGGGCCAGUGAAGAGAAGGACGAGGAGGCAGAGGAGGGCCAGUGUAAGGCAGUGACACGGUGACCGUGAGAACCAACCAAGGAUGGGAUUGGGCACUUGAGUCCCUACCAUUUGAUGUGGGGGGUGGCGGGUGAGCGAGACAGAAGAGCUGAGGUUACCCUGACAUUUCUAAUUCCACGCACAGGUGGAUGGCUAUGGCACUGAAGAUGGAAUUCAGGAUGGAAAGCAGAUUGGGGGGGGAAGGGUGACACGAUCCAAAUCAUCAAGGCUUUGCUGGGUAUCUUAACAUGGAAGAUGGAAGAUUAACCCCCGUGUCUUCCAGGAGCGAUGCUCCCACAGACCAAGAGGGGUCAGGGCCUGGAUUUCCCAGACGCAGACAGCAGACCACGUGCAGAGCCCACCGCCCCCACGGGGAGCCGUGGCCCCGCUAGCCACACAACGAAGGAAGCCCCCCGUGCACUUCCGGCCAGGAUGCUGCCACGGGGCUCCCCCUGGCAAGGACUGUGGGCCACCUGGCAAGCCCGCGCCUGUCCUCCUCGUGCCUCCGGGUGAAAAUUCUCGAGAAGAAAUUCCCCGGGGCUCCUGGUUCAGCACGGCGGGGGAUGCCAGCCCCCCGGGUGACUCCUGGCCAGGGCCGAGGUGCGGCGUGGGCUGGUGUGUGGGUGUGACACCUGCAUCCUCCGGGGACAGCUGCUGUAGCUCCCGGAGCUCACGGCAGAGGCGGCGCCGUGAGUUACGUUCACUCCGGAACGGACAGUUUUAUUUGUUACGUCUCCUGUGUCGGCACCAGUGUGAUUUCCAUACACUUUGCUUUUCUUAAAAGCAAAUCAAAGGAGCCGAAACAAGCGGGUCUUUGGCAGGCUCUCACGGGAAAUGGUCAGUAAAUGAAAGAUGAGGGGGCAGGUUGAUGAGGGGAGACAAAGAUUGCAGGAUCUGUAUAAUCACAGCGCUGGUGUAAGCACUGCCGCUGAGGUACCUGAGGUCAGGAGGCACGUAGCUGCCGGCCCAGGAAGCGGGUUUAUCAGAUGUCUUGCCCCUCAGGGCGGGCCCGCUUCCAGAAACAGCCUGGGAGACUGGGUCCUGCUCAUCACCAAUUGUGUGGCCUUGGCUAGCUCACGUACCUCUCAGCCUCAGCUCCUCGCGGCCUGCAGGGCUCCUCCAGACCAGUUUUCCGGGAGUGUGUGAUGCCGGGCGGAGGGGGAGGAGGGGUUGGGGGGUCAGCCACCAUGAGGCUCACCCCAGCGGCACCACGCAGACCGGCGUAUGUGUGAGCGGCUCCCUCUGGAGUUGGCCAGCCAACCACGUGGCGCUGGGACCUGCCUUUCCCGUAAGGCAGCCUCCGUUCUCCUGAUCCCAACCUGGCGUCCAGCUGGAAACAGCACCAGGGGCCCCGAGCUUCCUUUGUCAAGGUUGUGCUCUGCCUUCUUUUUGCUUAAAAAUAUUAGAUGAU